CAACACUAGACAAAAGGAGGAGGAAAUGACCAAGCAGAAAACACACAUGGGAGGAACAGCAACGUCAGAACCCUACCACAGAUUGUCUCUGGGAAAACCAAGGCUUCACAACUAAACAUAAGCAGCUGGAGCUAACGUCGAUGGGGAACCAAGCUGGACUCUUCUUUGCAGUGUCAUUGGAUUCAACAUCAGGGCAAAGCCAGAAGAAAGAUGUCAAAUAGCCUGACCAGCUCUGAAAGGGCUCUGCUAGCAAGGCAGAAUCUCCAGGAAUAAAGCAUCUAUUUGCUUGAAGAUAGUGCCAUCACCAAUUCAACACUGAACAAAAGAAACCACCAGUGAUGACGAGGAGGAAAAGACCCAGCCAGGCCAAAACAGGAGAUCAUGGGCAUCACAACUGACGCUGUUUGUUGGUGGAGAAACACAAGCAAGAAUGUUAAAGAGAGUAAGGUGUGCCAUCCAAGUGGAUUCGACAGCUGAAGAAGGGCCCGCGGUGUGUGCUGGAGAGAAGCAAAGAUAGUUACGACAAAUGACCCACUUUCAUCACCCAAGCAAGAAUGUUAAAGAGAAUGAGCUGGGCCCUCAUGGAGCGAGGAAGAUGGAUAGAGCCAGCCAAGAGAGGACUCAGAAACUGAAGAUGGGCCCAUGGUGGGUUCCAUUGGUUGGAUGAAGAUGGGCCCUCGGUGAGUGCCAUUGGUCGGAGAGAAGACGAAGAAGAGCACGUGCCAAUAGUAGUUACGAGAAAUGCCGAACGCGACACCUGAAAGACAAGGGAUCUCUGGUAAUGAAGGCUAUCUUUUGUCACAGGACAGAACCCACACCCAAAUCAACACUCGACAAAAGAAAGAAGGACCAUACAUUGAGGAACAGGAGCAUCAGAACCCUACCACGCCUAUCUUUGUCACAUGACAGAACCCACAUCCAAGUCAACACUGGACAAAAUGAGGAAAAUUCAUGGGAGGAACAGGAGCAUCAAAAUCCUACUACAGAUUGUCUGGGAAAACCAAGGCAUCGCAACUCACCAGAAGUAGCUGGAGCUAACGAUGAUUGAGAACCAAGCUGGACUCCUUUUUGCAGUGUCAUUGGAUUCACCAGAAGGGCAAAACCAGAAGAAAGAUGUCAAAUAGCCUGACCAGCUCGGGGAGGAUUCUGCUAGCAGGGCAGAAUCUCCAGGAAUGAUGCAUCUUUGACUGAAGAUGGAGCCAUCAGCAAUUUAACACUGAACAAAAGAAAAUACCAGUGAUGACGUGGACGAAAAGACCCAUCCAGGACAAAACAGGUGAUCAUGAGCUUCCUAACUGAAGCUGCUUGUUGGUGGGAAACACAGGCAAGGAUGUUGAAGAGAGCAAGUUGUGUCGUCCAGGAGAAGAUUUGGCAGCUGAAGACGGGCCCACGGUGGGUGCCGGAGGUUGGGCCUUACCGCGGUGAUGCCGGACAGAAGAUGAAGAAGAGGAGCAAGAAGCAAAGAUAGUUACGUCAAAUGCAGAACGCGACACCUGAAAGCCAAGGGAUCUCUGGUAAUGAAGCCUAGCUUUGUCACAGGACAGAGCCCACACACAAGUCAACACUGGAAAAAAGAAAGAAGGAACAUACAUUGAGGAACAGCAGCAUCAGAACCCUACCACGGAUUGUCUCUUUGAAAACCAAGGCAUCACAACUGAGCAGAAUUAGCUGGAGCUUAAGCCUAUUGAGAACCAAGCUGGACUCUUUGCAGUAUCAUUGGAUUCGCAAUCAGGGCAAAACCAGAAGAAAGAUGUCAAAUAGCAUGACUAACUCUGGAAGGACACCAGGAAUCUCCAGGAAUGAUGCAUCUUUUUGACUGAAGAUGGUGCCAUCACCAAUUCAACACUGAAUAUGAGAAACCACCAGUGAUGACGAGGAGGAGGAAAAGACCAGGUCAGGAGCAAACGGGAGAGCAUGAGCAUCAUAACUGGCGCUGCUUGUUGGUGGGAAACAAAAGCGAGGAUGUUAAAGAGAGCAAGGUGUGUUGUCCAAGAGAAGAUACGGCAGCUGAAGACGGGCCCACGGUGGUUGCCGGAGGUUGGAUGAAGGCGGGCCCUUGGUGGGUGCCGGAGGAUGAAGAGGAGCAACUGCCAAUGGUAGUUACGACAAAUGCAGAAUUGGACACCUGAAAGUCAAGAAAUCUCUGGUAAUGAAGCCUAUCCUUGUCACAGGACAGAACCCACACCCAAAUCAACACUGGACAAAAUGUGGAAGGAACAUACAUGGGAGGAACAGGAGCAUCAGAACUCUACCAUGGAUUGUCACUGGUGAAAAACAAGGCAUCACAACUGACCAGAAAUAGCUGGAGCUAAUGAUGAUUGACCAAGCUGGUCUCCUCUUUGCAGUGUCAUUGGAUUCACCAUAAGGGCAAAGCCAGAAGAAAGAUGUCAACUAGCCUGACCAGCUCUGGGAGGACUCUACUAGCAAGACAGAAUCUCCAGGAAUGAUGUAUCUUUGACUGAAGAUGGAGCCAUCACCAAUUCAACACUGAACAAAAGAAAGCAUCACUGAUGACGAGGAGGAAAAGACCCAGCCAGGCCCAAACAGGAGAACAUGAGCAUCAUAAUUGACGCUGCUUGUUGGUGGGAAACACAAGCGAAGAUGUUAAAGAGAUCAAGGUGAGCCCUCCAACAGAGUAUUCUGAAGAUGGGCCCACGGUGGGUGCCGGAGAUUGGACUUGCCCCGUGAUGGGUACCGGAAAGAAGUUGAAGAAGAGGAGCAAGUGGCAAAGAUAGUUAUGACAUGACCCAAUUUCUUCACCCAAGCGAGACGGAUAAAGAGAGUGAGCUGGGCCCUCAGGGAGCGAGGAAGAUGGACGGAGCCGUCACAGCGAGGACUCGACAGCUGAAGACUGGCCCUCGGUGGGUUCCAGAUGUCGAAGAGAAGACGAAAAGGAGCAACUGCCAAUGGUAGUUAUGGCAAAUGCAGAAAGCUACACCUGAAACCCAAGGGAUAUCUGGUAAUAAAGUCUAUCUUUGUCACAGGACAGAACUCGCACUCAAGUCAACACUGGACAAAAUGAGGAACAUACACGGGAGGAACAGGAGCAUCAGAAUCCUACAACGGAUUUUCUCUGGGAAAACCAAGGCAUCACAACUGACCAGAAGUAGCUGGAGCUAACAACGAUUGAGAACCAAGCUGGACUCUUCUUUGCAGUUUCAUUGGAUUCACCAGAAGGGCAAAGCCUGAAGAAAGAUGUCAAAUAGCCUGACCAGCUCUGGGAGGACUCUGCUAGCAAGGCAGAAUCUCCAGGAAUGAUGCAUCUUUGACUGAAGAUGGAGCCAUCACCAAUUCAACACUGAAGAAAAGAAAGCACCAGUGAUGACGAGGAGGAAAAGACCCAGCCAGAACCAAAGAGGAGAUCAUGAGCAUCAGAACUGACACUGUUUGUUGGUGGGGAAACACAAGCGAGUAUGUUAAAGAGAGCAAGGUGUGCUGUCCAAGAGAAGAUUCGGCAGCUGAAGACGGGCCCACGAUGGGUGCCGGAUGUUUGACGGACCUGCGGUGGAUGCUGGAGAGAAGAUGAAGAAAAGGAGCAAGAAGCAAAGAUAGUUACGACAAAUGACUUUCUUUCGUCACCCAAGCGACCAUCAGGACAAAGCCAAAAGAAAGAUGUCAAAUAUCCUGACCAGCUCUGGAAGGGCUCUGCUAGCAAGGCAGAAUUUCCAGGAAUGAUGCAUCUUUUUGACAGAUGAUGGAAUCGUCACCAAUUCAACACUGAAGAAAAGAAAGCACCAGUGAUGACGAGGAGGAAACGGCCCAGCCAGGACCAAGCAGGAGUUCAUGAGCAUCAUAACUGAUGCUGUUUGUUGUUGGGAAACACAAGUGAGGAUGUUAAAGAGAGCAAGGUGUGAGAAGAUUCGGCAGCUGAAGACGGGUCUGCAAUGUGUUCCGGAGGUUGGACGAAGACGGGCCCUCGGGUGCCAGAGGUCGGAGAGAAGAUGAAGAGGAGCAAGUGCCAUUGGUAGUUAUGGCAAUUGCAGAAUGCGAGAACUGAAAGCCAAGGUAUAUCUGGUAAUGAAGCCCAUCCUUGUCACAGGACAGAAAACACUACCAAGUCAACACUGGACAAAAUGAGGAAGGAACAUACAGGGGAGGAACAGCAGCAUCAGAAGCCUACCAUGGAUUGUCACUGGGAAAACCAAGUCAUCACAACUGACCAGAAGUAGCUGGAGCUAACGGCGAUUGAAAAUCAAGCUGGUCUCAUUGCAGUGUCAUUAUAUUCACCAUAAGGCCAAAGUCAGUAGAAAGAUGUCAAACAGCCUAACCAGUUCGGAGAGGAUUCUGCUGGCAAGAUAGAAUCUCUGGGAAUGACACAUCUUUUUACCAAUGAACGGAGCCCUCACCAAUUCAACUGGUCAAAAUAAAGCACAUGUUAUGCAUUAACAAAUAAAGAAAUUGUUAUAUUGGCGUUGAUAUCCAUUACAGCAAUCAAAUGGAUAUCUUGUCUCAUUAUGUUAUUAUUAGUUAUAGGAAAGUAGACCAUGAUAAUACAAAAACAAUCUUUGUGGAGCAGCCAUUGUGAUGCAGUCUGUGGUUUAGAAGGAGUGUGUUGCUGGUGUAAUGUGGGUCUAGAACCUGAUGGUUGACGGGGAGAUUCUGUUCUUGAACCUUGAAAGACCAGUCCUUGGGCUGCUGAGAGUCUUUUAAGAGGCACCAUAAAGAGCUGCAUUUUGCAUUUUUAGUCUGGAUGCCUUAUUACUUUAUUUGCUUACAUAUGUAGCCUUCAUGUGAAGUUCAGACCAGCAUUUUAUCUUCAGGCUGGGGAGAAAGUUUUUGGUAUUUAGCCACAACGCAAAGUGAGGAAUGGUGACCAUGAUAGCUUGCAGGCUUGUUCUUGUGUGAUGUGAACAUAACAUGUAUUGAUUAAUCCAUAUAAUGAUAGGGGAUGGGUGCAAUAUCUCUCCAAUAGCUAUAAUCUGCUUCUUUACCAAGGUCUAAUGAUAAAUCUGUCAGAAGGUUAAGAAGGUUAUAAUAGUUUGUCUGAGAAACCAGAGAUGUGGAACCUAAUGGAUCCCCUGAAGAAAGGUUUUCUAAACUAUCCCUGCUUUCAACCCAAUAAUCUCUCCCUAGCUGCAGCACUUGCAAGAAAAUAGAUACUUGAAAUUUAACUCCAACAUUGCAGGAUGUCCAAACUUCCAGGUUCACACCCCUUGCCAGAAGAAAUGUGCACCUGAAAGCCAAGGAGUCUGGGAAUGAAGCCUCUACUUGCCAGAGGAUAGAGGCGCAACCAAGUCAACACCGAUUAAAAGUAGGAGGAAAAGGCCCAGCCAUGAACAUGCAGAAGCAAUAGAGCCCUGACACUUCUCUUCUCUGGGGAAACUAAAGCAUCACCACAGACCAGAAGGGGAUGGAGAUAGUCAUUGGUGAAGUAGGCUGGUCUCCACUGUGCAAUACUAUUCGAUUCACCACAAGGACUUGGCCAAAAGAAAGAUGUCCAGGAUCCUGACAUGCUCUGGGAGGACACUGCUAGCAGGACAGAAAAAUCCCAGGACACAGCUCGUUUCUGGGAAACCUAAGGCAUCAUAACAGACAAGAAACAGAACAGAACAGACGCCUCCCAGGAAGACACGAGCGGUGGGAAAAGCUGGUUGACGCAUCCCUGUGACCGAACUCUGGGUCGGAGCUACGGAGCCCUCAAGAGUGGACCCGGCGACGAUAGAAUUUGGCCUGGUAGUUUGCGAGGAGGUCGUGUCAGCAGUCGGCAAGAAGGUUGAGCCGGCGGUCGAAGUGGAGUAGGGUUGGCGGUGGGUGCCGGAGGUCAGAUGCUCCGCCGAUAACAAAGGAGAAUCCGGCAUUAGGGGACCGCCAAGAGGGAAAAUCAAAGAAGACUCGCUGCGGAGAAGGAAGGAGGACCCUGCGUGGGAGAACCGCCGAGAACUAAGGGGGACUGUCGACAUCUGGCAUCUCCAGACCUCAGCCAACUGCUGCCUCAACCAAGGGCGGAACGGUGGCGCAGUGUAGAGUUGCUGCCUUACAGCACCAGAGAUACCGGGUUCGAUCCUGACUACGGGUGCUCGCUAUGGAAUUUGUUCGUUCUCCCCGUGACCUGUGUCGGUUUUCUCUGAGAUCUUUGGUUAACUCCCACACUCAAGGCGUACAGGUUUGUAGGUUAAUUGGGUACGGUAAAAAUUAUAAAUUGCUUCUACUGUGCGUGAUAGUGAUAGUGUUAAUGUGCGGGGAUCGCUGUACGGUAUAGACUCGGUGAGCCGAAGGGCCUGUUUUUGCACUGUAUCUCUAAACUAAACUAAUUCACUGAUUCUCUUGUGCCCUUGCCUCUGUCUCUAUCUUCGAUUUCACCAACGAAUACGGAGGACAUCAACUCCCAGUAACCUUCCUCCUCAACCCUCCUUUGCUGUCUUGGGCAAGCAGAAGUCACCAGUCGUCUAUAUUGAUGGACCCAUGCUCUCAGAUCUUGGCUAUCAUGGACCUUCUGUGGACCAAUGAGCUUAACCUGGCCAAUCUGCACACUGACAGUUGCCGUCUUGCCCGAGGAGAUCCAGAGCAUCUGCAAUGUUCCCUCACUCAUUCCAACAAAGCCUCUGCUGGGUUCGAUCCAGAGUAUGAGGCACUGCCCUAACCAUUAGAGAUGGAUGCCAUGUUGAAAAUAACCUCAAGUUUUCAGAAAGUAAUGGAUGGAUCCUGCUUCUUAUUGCUCCCUCCAGCAAGAUGGCGGUGGUAUGCUUCAUCCUCCAGAUCACCACAGUCUGCAGUACCAAAGGGGAAGCUCAUUAUGAUGAUAGUAGCCGGAAUCACCAGGACAAUGGUCCAGACUUCCAAUUUGUACAUUGACAUUGAACCCGCAUUAUUGGGUUAAAGCACAGAAUGGAUUUAGAUUAAGGAAAUAAUAUGAGCCACUGAAUUCCAUCAUCACCAAAAAAGCAUACUAUCGUUUCUACUUCCUCAGAAGACAAGGAUAUUUGAUAUUAAUUUAAAGACUCGUACCAACUUCUACAGUUGAACUGUAGAAAAGCUACUGCCAGGUUGUAUCACAACUUGGUUUGGGAACAGCUUUGCCCAAGACCACAAGAAAUUGCAGAGUUGUGGAUCACUCCAGCACACAGACCAGACUUCCCACCAUUGAUUACAUCUACACUUCACUCCCUUGGGGAAAACAGCCAACAUAAUCAAAGACCUUUUCCACCCUUGUCAUGUCCACUUUUCCUUGUUGCCACCACAAAGAGGAUAUAAAAGCUUGAAAGCAUGUACCUUCAGACUCGGGAACAGCUUCUUCCCCUGUUAUUUGAAAUCUGAACGGUCCUUCCAAAAACUAGGAUACAUUUCCUAAUUUCCAACCAACAUCAUUGUGAACAUUGGACUUUUUCCUCAUAAACGAUUAUGCUACAAUGUUGAGAAAUUGUAUGCUGCACUAUGCAUGUUUCUCCUCUCUCCACCAAUUGUGCUUGUGUAUGGCUUAAUUGUAUUUAUGUACAGUAUUACCUGAUUUAAUUGCAUAGCUUGCAAACAAAAGCUUUCCAUGUAUCUCAGUGCACACAACAAUAAAGCAAUUUAAAUUUGUUUUGUGAGCUGCAGUAGAUGACUUCACAUUGCCAUAUUAUAUUCCUUCUGUUAUGAUCUGGUCCACAGCUUGUUUCUAUCCCUUUAAAACCUCUUUACAUCCUUCUCACUGCUCAAACAUUUCCCAAGUUUUGUAUCAUCAGUAAAAUUGGAAAUGUGAUAUUUGGCUUCCUCAUCCAACAAGUUGAAGAAGACUGAAUAAUCAGGGUUCCUGUGUUACCCACCUAAUUAUUCCCAAUCCUUGGUUUCUGCCAGUCAGCCAUUUCUCAAUAGCCAGCAGUAUACUAUACUAAUCACAUACCUUCUGAAGUUCUAAAUGUACCACUGCCAUUGUCCAUUUAACCAACCAUAUCCUCAAAUAUCUUCAAAAAAUUUAACACCAUGCACUUUUCUAGAUUAGAAACCUAGAAAGUAGGUGCAGGAGUAGGCCAUUCGGCCCUUCGAGCCUGCACCGCCAUUCAUUAUGUUCAUGGCUAAUCAUCCAACUCGGUAUCCUGUACCUGCCUUCUCUCCAUACCCCCUGAUCCCCUUAGCCACAAGGGCCACAUCUAACUCCCUCUUAAAUAUAACCAAUGAACUGGUGUACCAUGACACCCAGGUCUCGUUGCAUCUCCCUUUUUCCUAAUCGGCCACCAUUCAGAUAAUAGUCUACUUUCCUGUUUUUGCCACCAAAGUGGAUAACCUCACAUUUAUCCACAUUAUACUGCAUCUGCCAUGCAUCUGCCCACUCACCCAGCCUAUCCAAGUCACCUUGCAGCCUCCUAGCAUCCUCCUCACAGCAAACACUGCCCCCCAGCUUUGUGUCAUCCGCAAACUUGGAGAUGUUGCAUUCAAUUCCCUCGUCAAAAUCAUUGAUAUAUAUUGUAAAUAGCUGAGGUCCCAGCACUGAGCCUUGCGGUACUCCACUAGUCACUGCCUACCAUUGUGAAAAGGACCUGUUUACUCCUACUCUCUGCUUCCUGUCUGCCAGCCAGUUCUCUAUCCACAUCAAUACUGAACCCCCAAUACCGUGUGCUUUAAGAUUAAACUCCAUUAACUAUUGCUCAGACCAUUUGCCCAACUGAUUUAGAUCCAGCUAUCAUUUUUGAUAACAAUCGUCACUAUUAUACCACACACAUUAGUGUCAUCUACAAACUCUCAGUCCCAAAAGGCCACUCCAUUACAACUUGCCUUCAUUUAUUGCCUGCUUAAUUAGUCCAUUUUGUUCACUUUAGCAAGUCUACGGCUGCCUUGAAAUCCCUUGGGAAAGCAGCCAAGAU